GCAAGCUGAAGCCCUCUUUUGAAAGCAAGGAUGUGGGUGAGAUGUUGGUCCUGUGCUGCAAAAACAUUGUGACACACCCUUCAGCGGAGAUGAUGCUGAAGAUCAGGAAGUCAAAGCAAGCAGCUCAGUACCUGCAGCUUCAGCAAACAUCACUGAAAGCUCUGGGCCGGCUCAUGGCAGUCCUGCUGGAGACAGAGCCCACCGGCAGCUUCUUUCAGAACAUAGUCCAUGUCCUGCGGAGAUCAUUGAUAUCGGAGAACGU